rnacentral:rRNA from 1 species
AUGAACGCUGGCGGCGUGCCUCAUACAUGCAAGUCGCGCGAACGGACGAGAAGCUUGCUUCUCUGAUGUUAGCGGCGGACGGGUGAGUAACACGUGGAUAACCUACCUAUAAGACUGGGAUAACUUCGGGAAACCGGAACUAAUACCGGAUGAUAUUUUGAACCGCAUGGUUCAAAAGUGAAAGACGGUCUUGCUGUCACUUAUAGAUGGAUCCGCGCUGCAUUAGCUAGUUGGUAAGGUAACGGCUUACCAAGGCAACGAUGCAUAGCCGACCUGAGAGGGUGAUCGGCCACACUGGAACUGAGACACGGUCCAGACUCCUACGGGAGGCAGCAGUAGGGAAUCUUCCGCAAUGGGCGAAAGCCUGACGGAGCAACGCCGCGUGAGUGAUGAAGGUCUUCGGAUCGUAAAACUCUGUUAUUAGGGAAGAACAUAUGUGUAAGUAACUGUGCACAUCUUGACGGUACCUAAUCAGAAAGCCACGGCUAACUACGUG